UGAAAUACUAUGAACGGGCCAGUAGGUUAACUUCCGAGGAACAGCGAUUCCGGGAUUGGUGGAAGCCGGAACCAAGGAAUUAACUGAAUAUCACCCGGGAGUAGUACAGCCUAAAGGUACGGACCAAGUGAUCAGAACUGCCGAUUAAGCUGUAUCGGUUGCACACCGUUAAAGUGCAGGUAACAAGUGUCCGGGCAUUUGGGUUCGGAAAUUAGGGUGGUACCGCGGGAAUCUCCUCUCGUCCCUUGG
rnacentral:ncRNA from 1 species